ACAACAACAAAAAUACAUAAAUAACCUCAUAUUUCUAAAAAACAACAACAAAAAUACAUAAAUAACCUCAUAUUUCUACUUCAAUUGAAAGGAUCAGAUGAAGACGAAUUUGGAAUAGAUUGUUCUUCAUGAGACAACAAAAGCACCACAUGUGAACACGGUCCAACAUUGUUGUUUGAAAAGAUCUGCUAAGGAGAGGAGAAAGGCCGGAGGUUUUCUGGCGAUCAGCGUGCAGAGACAGAAAAUAAUGCACCUUCUUUCAGUGGGAAGAUGAAAAGGUGUCUGAGGCCAGGCUUAGGGCCCAAGAGGAGGUGAACCGGUCAAAGAUGCCAACUUCCACCCAUCAGGAGUACUGCUCCAGGUUUUAAAAGUUCCUCGCUCUUCCCCCCAGGAAUGAAGUUCUGCCUGGACUGUCAGCUCCUCUUCCUAACAGGAGAAUGGGAAGGCCACGCCCUUCACAAGAUGUCACCAAUCCAC